UGAAACUACUAGGGGGGCCUUAAUAGGCUGAGAGGAAAGCGAUUAAGCUUUCCGACUCUUACAAACCUGAUCUGGUUAAUACCAGCGGAGGGAAGUAGUCUGACGAUACA
rnacentral:ncRNA from 1 species